AGUGAACGCUGGCGGUAGGCCUAACACAUGCAAGUCGAACGGCAGCACAGUAAGAGCUUGCUCUUACGGGUGGCGAGUGGCGGACGGGUGAGGAAUACAUCGGAAUCUACUUUUUCGUGGGGGAUAACGUAGGGAAACUUACGCUAAUACCGCAUACGACCUACGGGUGAAAGCAGGGGAUCUUCGGACCUUGCGCGAUUGAAUGAGCCGAUGUCGGAUUAGCUAGUUGGCGGGGUAAAGGCCCACCAAGGCGACGAUCCGUAGCUGGUCUGAGAGGAUGAUCAGCCAAACUGGAACUGAGACACGGUCCAGACUCCUACGGGAGGCAGCAGUGGGGAAUAUUGGACAAUGGGCGCAAGCCUGAUCCAGCCAUACCGCGUGGGUGAAGAAGGCCUUCGGGUUGUAAAGCCCUUUUGUUGGGAAAGAAAAGCAGCAGGUUAAUACCCCGCUGUUCGGACGGUACCCAAAGAAUAAACACCGGCUAACUUCGU
rnacentral:rRNA from 1 species